GAGUUUGAUCCUGGCUCAGAACGAACGCUGGCGGCAGGCCUAACACAUGCAAGUCGAACGCUCCGCAAGGGGAGUGGCGCACGGGUGAGUAACACGUGGGAACCUACCUUCUGGUACGGACAACCCAAGGGAACUUUGGCUAAUACCGUAUACGACCUCCGGGUGAAAGAUUUAUCGCCGGAAGAGGGGCCCGCGUCCGAUUAGGUAGUUGGUGGGGUAAAGGCCUACCAAGCCGACGAUCGGUAGCUGGUCUGAGAGGAUGACCAGCCACACUGGGACUGAGACACGGCCCAGACUCCUACGGGAGGCAGCAGUGGGGAAUAUUGGACAAUGGGCGCAAGCCUGAUCCAGCCAUGCCGCGUGAGUGAUGAAGGCCUU
rnacentral:rRNA from 1 species